GGGGUUGUGCCUCAGUGGCAGAGGGCUUGCCUCACAUGUAUGAGGUGCUGGGUUCAAUCCUCAGCACCA
rnacentral:tRNA from 1 species